rnacentral:rRNA from 1 species
GUGGGGAAUAUUGGACAAUGGGGGGAACCCUGAUCCAGCCAUGCCGCGUGUGUGAAGAAGGCCUUUUGGUUGUAAAGCACUUUAAGCGAGGAGGAGGCGCUCUAGGUUAAUACCCUAGAUGUGUGGACGUUACUCGCAGAAUAAGCACCGGCUAACUCUGUGCCAGCAGCCGCGGUAAUACAGAGGGUGCGAGCGUUAAUCGGAUUUACUGGGCGUAAAGCGCGCGUAGGUGGCUAAUUAAGUCAAAUGUGAAAUCCCCGAGCUUAACUUGGGAAUUGCAUUCGAUACUGGUUAGCUAGAGUAUGGGAGAGGAUGGUAGAAUUCCAGGUGUAGCGGUGAAAUGCGUAGAGAUCUGGAGGAAUACCGAUGGCGAAGGCAGCCAUCUGGCCUAAUACUGACACUGAGGUGCGAAAGCAUGGGGAGCAA